UUUUUAAUGGUUGACCUCGGAUCAGGUAGGAAUACCCGCUGAACUUAAGCAUAUCAAUAAGGCGGGAGGAAAA
rnacentral:rRNA from 1 species